rnacentral:rRNA from 1 species
GACGAACACUGGCGGCGUGCUUAACACAUGCAAGUCGAACGGUGAAGCGCCUUCCUUUUUGGUGGGUGUGGAUGAGUGGCGAACGGGUGAGUAACACGUGAGUAACCUGCCCCCUUCUUCUGGAUAACCGCAUGAAAGUGUGGCUAAUACGGGAUAUUCUGGGUCUGUCGCAUGAUGGGUCCGGGAAAGAUAUUGUUUCGGUGGGGGAUGGGCUCGCGGCCUAUCAGCUUGUUGGUGGGGUGAUGGCCUACCAAGGCGGUGACGGGUAGCCGGCCUGAGAGGGUGGACGGUCACACUGGGACUGAGACACGGCCCAGACUCCUACGGGAGGCAGCAGUGGGGAAUAUUGCACAAUGGGCGCAAGCCUGAUGCAGCGACGCCGCGUGAGGGAUGGAGGCCUUCGGGUUGUGAACCUCUUUCGCCAGUGAAGCAGGCCUGCCUCGUUUGUGGGUGGGUUGACGGUAGCUGGAUAAGAAGCGCCGGCUAACUACGUG